AUUGAACGCUGGCGGCAGGCCUAACACAUGCAAGUCGAGCGGAUGAAGGGAGCUUGCUCCUGGAUUCAGCGGCGGACGGGUGAGUAAUGCCUAGGAAUCUGCCUGGUAGUGGGGGAUAACGUCCGGAAACGGGCGCUAAUACCGCAUGCGUCCUGAGGGAGAAAGUGGGGGAUCUUCGGACCUCACGCUAUCAGAUGAGCCUAGGUCGGAUUAGCUAGUUGGUGGGGUAAAGGCCUACCAAGGCGACGAUCCGUAACUGGUCUGAGAGGAUGAUCAGUCACACUGGAACUGAGACACGGUCCAGACUCCUACGGGAGGCAGCAGUGGGGAAUAUUGGACAAUGGGCGAAAGCCUGAUCCAGCUAUGCCGCGUGUGUGAAGAAGGUCUUCGGAUUGUAAGGCACUUUAAGUUGGGAGGAAGGGCAGUAAGUUAAUACCUUGCUGUUUUGACGUUACCAACAGAAUAAGCACCGGCUAACUUCGUG
rnacentral:rRNA from 1 species